UUUUUUCUCAUCCACCCACGUAACCAGCCACACUCUUUUCUUUUCCUUUUUCCUUCUUUCCUCUACCAUCUUCUCAGUCCAGAACAUUCCCAGCUCUCUUUCUUUUUUUCUUUUUUUUUUUUGCCUCUUAGCACUUCAAACGGUCUCUCUAGACUAUCUCUCUCUCGCGGUUGAUACUUGAUAGUGUAAAAAUAAUAAUUUUGGUUUUGUUUAGCUGGAGAAGCAAAAGUGAAAAUGGCGGAUGAAGUGGCGCUAGACUUGGAGGAGCUCCGUCACCUCCAAAGCAUUGCGAAGAGACCUCGCGUCCUCUCUCUCGUCUCCUCCCAGAUUGACAACCUCGACAAGAGAAGAAGAUGAUGAUGAUGAUGAUGAAGAUGAAGAUGAAGAUGAUUGAAGCUGAAGAUAAGGAUUUUGGGAUUUUGGGUUUUUUUUUUCUAUGGAUUUUGGGUUGAUUUUGAGUUGGGUUUGGGAUGGGUUUUCCGGAUUUGAGUUGAUUUUAAGUUGUUUUUGUGUUGAUUUUGAGUUAUUUUUGGUUUGGUUUUGUUGAUUCUGUGUUCGGAAUAUCAAAGGUUGAAAUGGGUUUUGUUGAUUGUGGGGUAGACCGGUGAAGAAGCAGAGGAAGACGAAGAGGAAGAAGACGAAGAAAAAAGACAGAUGAGAGAUGAGGGCGUGAGAGACUGAUGGGUAUUUCGGUAAUUUUCGGAUUUGCAACGGUAAUAUACAAAACGCGCUAUGCGCGUUUUCAUUUAUGGACCCCUGAGGGUCCAUAAUCCUUCCGC